UACGGGGGGGGGCAAGCAUUUCUCAGUUUGAUUAGGCAUAAAGGGUCUCUAGACGGACUUUUGUAGUUUUCAAAUAAAGAUUAAAGCUUAACUUUAAGGAAUUUGUUAAAACGGAAAGAUCUUGAGUAUAAAUAAAAGAUAAUGGAAUUCUUAUUGUAAAGUUAAAAUAUAUUGAUAAUAGGAGGACCAACAAUGGCGAAGGCAAUUAUCUAGGUAUAUACUGACGUUAACAGACGAAAGCUAGGGGAGCAAAUGGG
rnacentral:rRNA from 1 species